GGAAUCGUACACAAUGGACGAAAGUCUGAUGUCGCAAUGCCGCGUGGAGGAUGAAGGCCUUCGGGUCGUAAACUCCUUUUACAGUAAUUGAGAAGUUAUUGAGAAUAAGCACCUGCUAACUCUGUGCCAGCAGCCGCGGUAAUACAGAGGGUGCAAGCGUUAUCCGGAUUUAUUGGGCGUAAAGCGUUUCGUAGGUUUCUAAGUAAGUUAGUCUUCAAAGACCACGGCUCAACCGGGGGAAGGGGACUAAUACUGCUUUGGAUUGAAAGGUGAUGGGGCUUCUGGAACUGAUGGUGUAGUAGUGAAAUACGUUGAUAUCAUCAGGAACUCCGAGGGCGAAGGCAGGAAGCUAAUCAUUUUUUGACGCUGAGGAACGACAGCUAGGGGAGCGAAAG
rnacentral:rRNA from 1 species